rnacentral:rRNA from 1 species
UACAGAGGGGGCAAGCGUCGUUCGGAAUUACUGGGCGUAAAGGGCGCGUAGGCGGCCUUCUAAGUCGAACGUGAAAUCCCCGGGCUCAACCCGGGAACUGCGUCCGAUACUGGAAGGCUUGAAUCCGGGAGAGGGAUGUGGAAUUCCAGGUGUAGCGGUGAAAUGCGUAGAUAUCUGGAGGAACACCGGUGGCGAAGGCGACAUCCUGGACCGGUAUUGACGCUGAGGCGCGAAAGCCAGGGGAGCAAACGGG